rnacentral:rRNA from 1 species
UACGGGGGGGGCAAGCGUUGUUCGGAAUUAUUGGGCGUAAAGGGCGCGUAGGCGGCGCGAUAAGUCAAAGGUGAAAUCCCUCGGCUCAACCGGGGAACGACGCUUGAAACUGGCAAGCUAGAGUACCAAAGAGGGCGGUGGAAUUCCCGGUGUAGCGGUGAAAUGCGUAGAUAUCGUAAGGAAGACCAGUGGCGAAGGCGGGUCUCUGGACAGUUCCUGACGGCUGAGGCACGAAGGCCAGGGGAGCAGACGGG